CCUACGGGAGGCUGCAGUGAGGAAUAUUGGUCAAUGGGCGGAAGCCUGAACCAGCCAAGUCGCGUGAGGGAUUAAGGCCCUGCGGGUCGUAAACCUCUUUUGCCGGGGAGCAGAGGUCCGGACGUGUCCGGGCCGGGAGAGUACCCGGAGAAAAAGCAUGGGCUAACUCCGUGCAAGCAGCCGCGGUAAUACGGAGGAUGCGAGCGUUAUCAGGCUGUAUGGGGUUUAAAGGGUGCGUAGGCGGGCAUUUAAGCCGGCGGUCAAAUGUCGGGGCCCAACCCCGGCCUGCCGUCGAAACUGGGUGCCUUGAGUGGGCGAGAGGUAUGCGGAAUGCGUGGUGUAGCGGUGAAAUGCGUAGAUAGCACGCAGAACCCCGAUUGCGAAGGCAGCAUACCGGCGCCCUACUGACGCUGAGGCACGAAAGUGCGGGUAUCGAACAGGAUUAGAUACCCUAGUAGUC
rnacentral:rRNA from 1 species